CCAAGGAGUCUAACAUGUGCGCGAGUCGUCGAGUCGAUAGCGAAACUCGCGAGGCGCAAUGAAAGUAAAGUGUCCCCGACGAGGGUGUUGCACGAGGGGAGAUCCCGUCUCUAUACAAACCGGAGCGGGCGCAUCCCGCGGGCGUUCGAAGCCGCGACUUUAGUCGGCCGAACGAACCCGGAGCGCACACGUUGGGACCCGAAAGAUGGUGACCUAUGCCUGACCAGGACGAAGCCAGGGGAAACCCUGGUGGAGGUCCGCAGCGAUUCUGACGUGCAAAUCGAUCGUCGGAGUUGGGUAUAGGGGCGAAAGACUAAUCGAACCAUCUAGUAGCUGGUUCCCCCCGAAGUUUCCCUCAGGAUAGCUGGUGCUCGCAUGGAAAACGAACGGAGUUUCAUCCGGUAAAGCGAAUGAUUAGAGGCCUUGGGGUCGAAACGACCUCAACCUAUUCUCAAACUUUCAAUGGGUGAGAAGCCCGGCCUGUCUUCUUGACUGAGGCCGUCGGCACAUGAUCGAAUCUGAGCGCCCAGUGGGCCAAUUUUGGUAAGCAGAACUGGCGCUGUGGGAUGAACCAAACGCCCGGUUAAGGCGCCCAAACGACGCACAUUUCGGAUCCCACGAAAAGGAGUUGGUUGCUAAAGACAGCAGGACGGUGGCCAUGGAGGUCGGAAUCCGCUCAGGAGUGUGUAACAACUCACCUGCCGAAGCAACUAGCCCUUAAAAUGGGAGGCGCUAUAGCGUCGUGCCUAUACCGGGCCGCCGGUCGGCAGUGCGAAACGUGAACAGGGCGCAGAGCCCGAGUCACGCUGAGGCCCCGGUGAGUAGGGGGGUCGCGACGGUGAGCGUUGAAGGGUUGUGGGCGCGAGCCUGCCUGGAGCCGCCGUCGGUGCAGAUCUUGGUGGUAGUAGCAAAUACUCCAGAGG
rnacentral:rRNA from 1 species